rnacentral:misc_RNA from 1 species
UCAAACUUGGUCAUUUAGAGGAAGUAAAAGUCGUAACAAGGUUUCCGUAGGUGAACCUGCGGAAGGAUCAUUACCAAAUAAUAGCUGUCCUGGCCCCGCGCCUUGACGCUUCAACCAUUUGUGAACCAAAACAAACCUUCGCUUCGGCAGCGGGGCAGCUCGCCCGUCAGCCUGCCGCUGGCAUCAAAUUCAAACCUGCAGUUGAACUGUGUCUGAAUCCAAAUUUCUGAAUUGAAAUCAAAACUUUCAACAACGGAUCUCUUGGUUCCCGCAUCGAUGAAGAACGCAGC